rnacentral:rRNA from 1 species
AAGGAUCAUUAAUGAUUCACUAUGGAGUUGUUGCUGGCCUCUAGGGGCAUGUGCACGCUUCACUAGUCUUUCAACCACCUGUGAACUUUUGAUAGAUCUGUGAAGUCGUCCUUCAAGUCGUCAGACUUGGUUUGCUGGGAUUUAAACGUCUCGGUGUGACAACGCAGUCUAUUUACUUAACACACCCCAAAUGUAUGUCUACGAAUGUCAUUUAAUGGGCCUUGUGCCUAUAAACCAUAAUACAACUUUCAACAACGGAUCUCUUGGCUCUCGCAUCGAUGAAGAACGCAGCGAAAUGCGAUAAGUAAUGUGAAUUGCAGAAUUCAGUGAAUCAUCGAAUCUUUGAACGCACCUUGCGCCCCUUGGUAUUCCGAGGGGCAUGCCUGUUUGAGUGUCAUUAAAUUCUCAAACUCACAUUUAUUUGUGAUGUUUGGAUUGUUGGGGGUUGCUGGCUGUAACAAGUCGGCUCCUCUUAAAUGCAUUAGCAGGACUUCUCAUUGCCUCUGCGCAUGAUGUGAUAAUUAUCACUCAUCAAUAGCACGCAUGAAUAGAGUCCAGCUCUCUAAUCGUCCGCAAGGACAAUUUGACAAUUUGACCUCAAAUCAGGUAGGACUACCCGCUGAACUUAA